rnacentral:miRNA from 1 species
AGAGGCUCCAGCUCCCUUUGU